GUGAAGUCUGCUAGUGGCGUGCUGUUGGACUUCUGGAACCAGCUAAAUUCUCUAGAAGAAUAUUGGUGAGACAAUGGAUGGCUGAAUUUUGAUGUCAGGCCAUAUAUCCAUUUAACGAAUUAAAGAAUCAAGAAUAAAAAAAGACAACUUUUUGUCCUCAAAUAUUUGGGAUAGGCGGUUCUCUCAAGGUUGACGAGUGGCCUUUUACUUUUACUACACUACAUGAUUGCUUCGCACGACCUGCUUCUGGUGUAAACAAGAGUCAGCUUCUAUUAGAAAUUACAUUUCUGUGUUAUUUAGUGUCCUGUCAACUUUUAUUCGAGAAUAUGAUUCCUUUUUCUGUAAUAUGAUUGUGUUAUAAAUAUAUUAUGUUAUGGAUGUU